CAAUAGCGUAUAUUAAAGUUGUUGCAGUUAGAACGCUCGUAGUCGGAUUUCGGGGCGGGCCGACCGGUCUGCCGAUGGGUAUGCACUGGUCGGCGCGUCCUUCCUUCCGGAGACCGUCCCUACUCUUAACUGAGCGGGGGCGGGAGACGGGACUUUUACUUUGAAAAAAUCAGAGUGCUUCAAGCAGGCAGCUCGCUCUUGCAUGGAUUAGCAUGGGAUAAUGAAAUAGGACUUUGGUGCUAUUUUGUUGGUUUCGAACACCGAAGUAAUGAUGAGAAGGGACAGUCAGGGGCACUCGUAUUCCGCCGAGAGAGGUGAAAUUCUCAGACCAGCGGAAGACGAACCACUGCGAAAGCAUUUGCCAGGGAUGUUUUCACUGA
rnacentral:rRNA from 1 species